rnacentral:rRNA from 1 species
UACGUAGGGGGCAAGCGUUGUUCGGAAUUACUGGGCGUAAAGGGCGCGUAGGCGGCACGGCAAGUCAGGAGUGAGAGCCCGGGGCUCAACCCCGGAAGGUCUCUUGAAACUGCCGAGCUAGAGUGCGGAAGGGGCAACUGGAAUUCCCAGUGUAGCGGUGAAAUGCGUAGAUAUUGGGAAGAACACCUGAGGCGAAGGCGGGUUGCUGGGCCGACACUGACGCUGAGGCGCGAAAGCCAGGGGAGCGAACGGG